rnacentral:lncRNA from 1 species
AAGUAGGCUUGAUCCGAUAGUUUGAGUCCGACUUGCAUAAUAAAAGUAUUUUAUUUUUCUGUUAUGUACCCUACAAGCAGAGAUAUCACAAAGUCCGACUUGAAAAUUUUUACUUUAAGAAACGUCAUCAUCGCCUUUGUACGGCUGCAACGUUUGUCACGAGAUGUCAUUAUUAAUCUUAUCGACCCAGCGGAUUAUCAGACUGAUAAGUCAGGGUUACUGUAGAUCUAACGAAUCAAUGUUCGCAAGGUCCUAGACCUCUGUGGUGACUCUGACUUAUUGGCCUGAUUUAUCCGUUGGGUAACGAUAAGAUUGAUUGAUUGAUGUAAACAUGGUGUGUUUUGUAAACCUCUUAUCAAUAUAAUAAUAAAUACGUGUGCAUUGGAAAAGAAGCAUUGGCAGUAUUAAUAAAUUGCUUACUACUAUUGCAUAGUAUGCUUACUCUUUUUCUGCACGUCCGAGUGAUGGCCAACGAUGUUGACGUUCGCGGCGAGUUUGACAGUUUAUUGAUAAUUUGUUUCGGAGUGUAACUCAUGUUUGUGUCUACUAUAUUUUGCAGGUUUAAAUAAAAAUUAUAUAACAAUUAUCAAUGUUCAAAAGAGAUGUUAAAUACUGUAAAAAGAUCUAAUAUGUGUAUACAAGAAAAUAAUGUUUAAAAGAGACAUCAACAAUAUUCUAAAAGAACAUGAUAUAUAUGGAUGAAUAAAAUCUUCUAAAUUAAGGGUGUUAAAA